UGGGGAAUCUUCCGCAAUGGACGAAAGUCUGACGGAGCAACGCCGCGUGAGUGAAGACGGCCUUCGGGUUGUAAAGCUCUGUGAUCCGGGACGAAAGAGCCUGAGGUAAAUAGCCUAAGGAAGUGACGGUACCGGAAAAGCAAGCCACGGCUAACUACGUGCCAGCAGCCGCGGUAAUACGUAGGUGGCAAGCGUUAUCCGGAAUUAUUGGGCGUAAAGCGCGCGCAGGCGGCUUACUAAGUCCAUCUUAAAAGUGCGGGGCUUAACCCCGUGAUGGGAUGGAAACUGGAAAGCUGGAGUAUCGGAGAGGAAAGUGGAAUUCCUAGUGUAGCGGUGAAAUGCGUAGAGAUUAGGAAGAACACCGGUGGCGAAGGCGACUUUCUGGACGAAAACUGACGCUGAGGCGCGAAAGCGUGGGGAGCAAACAGG
rnacentral:rRNA from 1 species